GGUUGGAAUGUAAAAUGAAAUUUAAUAAAUGAAUAAAUGAACAAAUAAAGAAAUAAGAAAUUCAGACAGCUAGAUAAUCUUGCUUCAUUACCCCUUUCUUAGAAUGAAAUUAGAUAAUAACAUCAAUAAUGUAAAUUGAACUUUGUAUCACUGAUUUUUUUCAAAUGGAAUUUCACUUUUUUUUUUUUUUAAGUUUCCAUAGUAUUACUUUCUGUGUGAAAACCAAAUACUAAACUGGCCAUGACACUGGAACAUCAACAGCCAUACUGACACUUCUUCAUUUAAGUCCUAUUUUCUUGAAGUUGUACUUCUGUCUCUUUGUGGGAGAAGCAGGCCAUGUACAAAGAGUGUCAGAUAAACCCAUACCAUGUGAUGCCAUUGAGGCCUGGCAUAGCAAUUGGACUCUUAGAAGUACAGGCUCCUGAGAGGGUUUAACACUUUUUAUUUCAAAAGUAUUGAUUGGCAUAAAGGGACUUUUACAUUUCCUUUUGCUUUGUUUAUCUUUGCCUCCUCCUCAACCUACCAAGGCCCUCUUGCUUCUAGGAAAUUGACUUCAGUCAUUUAAUCACAUGAUUGUUUGUUGCUUUUUUUAAUUGAAGAAGUAAGCAUUUUUCUAGCACAUCUGGAGAGCAAAACAUUACACAACUGAAAAAGAAAGCCCUCUAGAAAAUGAAUCUUACAUUUGAAAUACCUGUCUUAUUUUUCUGCUAGAAGUAAUAUUUUUUCCUGCUAGAGUAAAUGUCCUUGCUCAUGGGUUAUUUCCAUGUUUGACUUGAAUGUAUUUCUGAAGUAAGGAUUUGGGGAGACCAGCAGUGCUGCUAAACUUUUACUGAGCAACUUCUCUUUCUGCCUUUCCCCCAACUUGCUGGCUGACCUGGGCUGCUUUUGUGACACCUGCUCCCAUCUGCCCCCAAGCUGUACCCUUUCAAAUGCAGGUCUAAAUUACUUUCAACACACUUCUGCUACUCAUUCUGUUAAGUGCCCCAACCAAAUAUAAGUUCCUAUUGGCCUAAAAAUAGAUCCCUUGCCAUCUGGAGCCCCAAAUUUUUUGCAUUUUCUCUUUCACCUCGAAGCAACUCUGCCAGUCAUAAGAGAACUUCACCUGAUGUAAUUGUGUCUGUUUCCAACUGCUCCUGAACACACUCUGGAGCUUUCGUUCUGAGCGAAUAAUUCUCCCUUGUUAUCACCAGGUUUCCUGAAGGGAUCAGAUGUUCAUUCAUUUUGACAUUUUCAAAUCAUCAGAAAAAACUUUAACAAAUCCCAGACUUGAAUUUUGGCUUUAGUCUUUGUGUUUUAUGAAAUGUUAUAUCCUAUACAUAUUUAGGUUAGACUAGCUCUCAAAGUUCUGCUUGGUGAAACACUCAUGAUUCUUGCAAUCCUUAAAAACUGCAAUAUUGAAAGGGGCCAAGUUAUUUUUUUAAAGGCUUGUUUUUAAUCAAAACUGAUAAAAGUUAAAACACACAUAUGUUCAUUUAAGCUUUCUUGUAUCUUUGAGUAGAUAGUGUUAAAACAAGACCAUGAGCAGAAUAUGAGGUAUGGUUUCAAAAGAAUAUGAAGCAAGAAGGAAAAUAUUGCCAGUUUUCACUAAAGUUUCCCCAAAUUUGUGGAUAACAAGUAUAUAAAAAUUUGUUCUGUUGUGAAAUAUUCAAGCACAUAUACAAUUGAUCCCAUUGGGGAGCCCUCUGUACUCCAGCUGCCCUGGGAUGCUUCCCUACAACUUUUAGGUUGUUCUCGGUUUCUUUCCUUAGUCACCCUCAUCGCUGCUCACAACAUUUUCCUGAUAAACCUCACCCUGUGUCUUGACUCCAUUAUUUCUGACAUGAAUAUCUCAUAGAUUCCUCCUCCCAUGUCUUCUGAAUUCCUGAUAAGAUGCAAAGCCUUUAAAAACUGAACCAGAAAUUUGGCCCCCAUGUUCUCUGUUUUCCCUUGGCUCAACCACCAAGAGUUCUCACGGACAUCACACGUAUCUUUUAACAGAAUCUGAGAUAGUAGUUGCCAAUAUAGGCUAGAUUUGCCUCCAAGUAUUGGGACUUCUUUUGGAGUGAUAAGGAGGGGCCAACCCAACACUUUGGCCUUCUCAACCUCCGCAGAUGCUGCUCAGUGUCUCUUCCUCCCCAGUUUUGGCUCGGCAUGGUGUCUCCCAGGCCCACUGACUGUCGGUUGCCAUAACAACUUAUGGCAAAAGAGGGAAGCCUGGCGAAGCAGUGGUUGGGCCAGGUGGAGAGGAGGAGGUAGAACAGAUAGCUGAGACACACAGAGUCCCUGGAAAGUUGGUGUGGAGGCAGGUGACUGCAAGAAAGGUGGAGGAAGCUUGAGUCUGUGAUGAAGAUGAAGUUAAAGAUGAAGGAAGAAGAAGGUGAGGAAACAUGAAAGGAGAAAGAGAAAGGUUAGAAAAACACCAGAGAAGCAUAAGGAAAGUGGAAAACAAAGAGAUAGUCAAACAGCAGGAAAAAAUGUCAAUCUCAGAUACUGUGAACAUAGUAAACUCAUCUAUCUCCUGGCCCAUUUCUAUUUCCACUAGGACUGGUUUGAGAUUCAAUUAGAAUAAAAUGAGCUAUCAGGGUACAUUGAUUUGCCAGACUUGGUUACUAUAGUCUACUGGGUCAGGCCUUAUUUAAAUUAGUGAACUGUGCUUAAAAAUAUCUAGUUUGCCUUCUUCCCAGAAUUGUUAUAAUGACUUCAAUGAGUUGUUGAAUAUUCAAAAGCUUGGAAAGCGCCAAGGCAGUCUACAAAUGUUACAGCUCUCAUCGUCCUGAUUUCAUCAUUAUCAGUGUUAACAUGUUUCUCUUCCACUCUCCCAGGCUCCUUUAAACUAUAUUGGGAACACCAUUUUCUUUAAUUUUUUUCAUUAAUUAGACUUAGAUUCAUUUAUUUUCCUUGUAGGAGUAAUUGAGAUUUACUUCUUAAGUCUAUAACUAAAGGAUGGAUACUUUAGUUUGCCAUAGUUACUGUCACUAUGAAUGAAACACAUGGGAUCUAACUCAGUACAAAUAUUGUGAUCUAUAUCCAAUAAAAAACUCUUUAUGUUGUA